UACGAAGGGUGCAAGCGUUACUCGGAAUUACUGGGCGUAAAGCGUGCGUAGGUGGUUUGUUAAGUCUGAUGUGAAAGCCCUGGGCUCAACCUGGGAAUGGCAUUGGAUACUGGCAGGCUAGAGUGUGGCAGAGGGUAGUGGAAUUCCUGGUGUAGCAGUGAAAUGCGUAGAGAUCAGGAGGAACAUCCGUGGCGAAGGCGACUGCCUGGGCCAACACUGACACUGAGGCACGAAAGCGUGGGGAGCAAACAGG
rnacentral:rRNA from 1 species